GGCGCCUUUUUAUCGCAAAAUUUCUCAAAAUUUCCCGCACUAAAACCCUUAAUUUUUUCCCUAAAAUCAGUAUCCUCCAAACACUCCCAAUCUCACCCCUCUGUUGCCCUUUUCAAUAAAGAAACUCUCCAACAGCAGCGUCUCCAAGCUCUUAUCGAAGGUGUCCAUGAUUACUCUGGCUCCGCUGUACUUGGAUGGGGCGAUUGGUAUUACAUGGGUGAAGAGGAUAAAGGGAAAAGGAAGUUGAAAACUUUGUCUGCAGUUGCGGAGUAAUUCCUUGUGGAAAGAAGGAAUUUAUUGCAGAACUUUAUUCAGUAUUCUAUACACAGAUCUUCAAAAUCUGAGAGAAGAAAUUCAAUCCAAAAAAAGAAAAAGAACCCCAAAAGAUGAGGAUUAAUGGGAGUUGGAGUUGAUUUUUUAUUAAUUUUUUCAAAUGAUAUUGUUAUAUAGUAAAAAAAAGAUGAAUUCACAAAAUCAAGUGGGGUCAACUCUCAAGGAAAUACUCGAAGUGGUCAAGCCGUUGCAUGAAGACUGGGUUCCUCGGUUUAAGAUCAUCAAUGAACUGCGUGAAGUCGUUCAAUCUAUCGAAAAUUUAAGAGCUUUCGUGGUGGGCUUUUAUCCUGCUUUGUCUUUCAAAGCGAGUUCACUCAAUAUUUGUGCUUCGUCUGUUUAAUGACUGUUUCGCAAUGACACUCCUCCAUGCUGCAAUGGGAUCUAUUCUUUUUGGAUGGUGGCAUUUGGGGUUGAUUAUUUUUUGUGCUGCCCUAUCGAUAAAGAUGAAUGUCCUACUCUAUGCUCCAUCUCUUUUUAUACUCAUGCUAAAGGCUAUGAGUAUCAGUGGGGUAAUAUCAGCUUUAGCUGGUGCGGCACUUGUACAGGUGAGUUGGACUACUGCACUUAAUGUUUGUGGCAGGGGGCAUUGCCUGCCAGUGUGUUGAUUCUUUUCUACAUACUCAGUAAAGGGUUCUGCAAAUUGUGCUGGGGCUGCCAUUUUUAUUAUCAUUUCCAGUUGAAUAUAUAUCACGAGCCUUUAAUCUUGGACGUGUCUUCAUCCACUUCUGGUCUGUCAACUUCAAGUUUGUUCCCGAACCUUUCAAUUUUCAAUGUUGUUUAGAUUCGCAAACAAGAUGCUGUAUUUGGACUUGCUGUAUUUUAUUUAUAUCUUUAUAUUUAAUCUAAUUUUAUUAUUUAUUUUAGUUUUGAUUCUAUAUUUUUAUUUUUAUUUUAAUAUUUAAUAACUUGAGUUCUAACUUUUGAA